GAUGAACGCUGGCGGCGUGCCUAAUAUAUGCAAGUCGAGCGAACGGACGAGAAGCUUGCUUUUCUGAUGUUAGCGGCGGACGGGUGAGUAACACGUGGAUAACCUACCUAUAAGACUGGGAUAACUUCGGGAAACCGGAGCUAAUACCGGAUAAUAUUUUGAACCGCAUGGUUCAAAAGUGAAAGACGGUCUUGCUGUCACUUAUAGAUGGAUCCGCGCUGCAUUAGCUAGUUGGUAAGGUAACGGCUUACCAAGGCAACGAUGCAUAGCCGACCUGAGAGGGUGAUCGGCCACACUGGAACUGAGACACGGUCCAGACUCCUACGGGAGGCAGCAGUAGGGAAUCUUCCGCAAUGGGCGAAAGCCUGACGGAGCAACGCCGCGUGAGUGAUGAAGGUCUUCGGAUCGUAAAACUCUGUUAUUAGGGAAGAACAUAUGUGUAAGUAACUGCGCACAUCUUGACGGUACCUAAUCAGAAAGCCACGGCUAACUACGUG
rnacentral:rRNA from 1 species